GACGAACGCUGGCGGCGUGCUUAACACAUGCAAGUCGAACGGAAAGGCCCUGCUUUUGUGGGGUGCUCGAGUGGCGAACGGGUGAGUAACACGUGAGUAACCUGCACUUGACUUUGGGAUAACUUCAGGAAACUGGGGCUAAUACCGGAUAGGAGCUCCUGCUGCAUGGUGGGGGUUGGAAAGUUUCGGCGGUUGGGGAUGGACUCGCGGCUUAUCAGCUUGUUGGCGGGGUAGUGGCUUACCAAGGCUUUGACGGGUAGCCGGCCUGAGAGGGUGACCGGCCACAUUGGGACUGAGAUACGGCCCAGACUCCUACGGGAGGCAGCAGGGGGGAAUAUUGCACAAUGGGCGGAAGCCUGAUGCAGCAACGCCGCGUGCGGGAUGACGUCCUUCGGGUUGUAAACCGCUUUCGCCUGUGACGAAGCGUGAGUGACGGUAAUGGGUAAAGAAGCACCGGCUAACUACGUG
rnacentral:rRNA from 1 species